rnacentral:rRNA from 1 species
ACCUGCAGAUGGAUCAUUUUGAUGACUUUCAAGCAGAGGGUCUGGUGAGGCAUUCGUGUCUCCCCAGUCUUCUGUUGAGGUGUGGCUUCGCACCUGUCCAACUAAACUGAGCUACCCAAUUUAUACACGGUUGCAUCGGUCAGGCUGUCAAACAGUGCAGCGCGGUCAAACGCGCUUGCACUGGGAGGCGCCCGACAAAAUCAAUUAAACACUUUUGAUCCUUAGGAUUUUGUAUGUCAUUUGAUUGAAACGACUGGUAAUGCGGUCGUCUAAUCUAAAAACAACUUUUGGCAACGGAUCUCUUGGUUCUCCCAUCGAUGAAGAACGCAGCGAAUUGCGAUAAGUAAUGUGAAUUGCAGAAGUGAAUCAUCGAAUCUUUGAACGCACCUUGCGCUCCCGGCAGAUCUAAUCUGGGGAGCAUGCCCGUCUGAGGGCCGCGAAUUGUUUCGAACGACAGCUUUUUUCUUAGGAGAAUGGCUGGCGGAUCGGUAUUGAGGGUCUUGCCAUUUACAGUGGCUCCCUCGAAAUGCAUUAGCAUGACAUAUAUAACUUCGAAUCGAGUGGUGACAGGGAUUGAUUUCCCUCUCCCGACCGGGUUUUGAUAACAUCAAGGCUUCGGUGGUGAGAGGCAAUCCUCUGGCACGGCUUGGCAACGAAGGUCAUAGCUUCUAAACCCGCCCAUGCUUCGCAAGAAGAAGGGAUUUUUCAAAUUCAUCGGCCUCAGAUCGGUAGGACUACCCGCUGAACUUAAGC